UACUCAAGCUCCUCGUAUGGGACUUUGGCAAAUAUUUCAUUUGGCAAGAACUUUGGACUUAACUGGAGAUAGUAGGAAACUUGCACAACGCUGAGGACAGACUGACAGUCAAUUAUCAGCUGUUUUUUUCCUCCACAGAGUUUCUUUUGCACAUACAUUCUCCAUUCCAUCUCUGGACUUGAAAAGAACACCAUUUUUCCAGACAGUGAUUUCCUCCAAUAUCUCGUUUCUCGGUGUCUGCGUGUGUGUUUUUUAACAGGCGGACCCAUGGGCUUACAGUUUUGCAAGCCUUGCAGCUGGUGCCUACAAAGUAAGGAGGACUGCAGAGCUGCCGGCGGCUCCUUGUGUGUGCGGAGCGACGACUGGAGAUACUGCUCUGACCGCUGCUGUGACAUCUGCUGCCAGAUGUGUGUGAACGUAUGCUUUGGCGUGUGUUCAGGAAACUGCAGCUACACCUUCUGCACCCUCUGCCUCAGCCUGGCACAGAACUGUGCCUCUCUUAUUAACACCCAACAAACUGAAACAUCGGAAGCACAACAUCCUAUGAUGGCUCCAGAGCUGCAUGCAAAGUGAACAUGUGACCAACCCCUAAAGAUGCAAUAGAUUUAAAGCCGGAAGCUAAACCAGGUAAAUUAAACCGGCUGAGGAGCCCGAGCGAGCUUUGGACCGCUGUCUAAUGAGGACUGGGGAGGAGCAAAGAGACUUUGACAACAAGUGCAAGAAAGAGCUCUCUGCAGAGGGAAACUUUGUGGCUUUAAAGUUCAUGAAAUCUUUUGUGUAUAAAAAAAUAAUAAAUAGCAGGGGAUAGUAGUCAAAGAUUAUGUAUAAACACUAUAUAAAGGUCUGCCAGAUGUGUUA